CUACGGGGCGCUGCAGUGGGGAAUAUUGCACAAUGGAGGAAACUCUGAUGCAGCAACUCCGCGUGGAGGAUGACACUUUUCGGAGCGUAAACUCCUUUUAUAUAGGAAGAAGAUGACGGUACUAUAUGAAUAAGCGCCGGCUAACUCCGUGCCAGCAGCCGCGGUAAUACGGAGGGCGCAAGCGUUACUCGGAAUCACUGGGCGUAAAGAGCGUGUAGGCGGAUUAAAAAGUCAGAAGUGAAAUCCUAUAGCUUAACUAUAGAACUGCUUCUGAAACUCUUAAUCUAGAAUAUGGGAGAGGUAGAUGGAAUUUCUGGUGUAGGGGUAAAAUCCGUAGAGAUCAGAAGGAAUACCGAUUGCGAAGGCGAUCUACUAGAACAUUAUUGACGCUGAGACGCGAAAGCGUGGGGAGUAAACAGGAUUAGAUACCCCCGUAGUC
rnacentral:rRNA from 1 species